UCUCCCAUCCCUGUGGAUAACAAAAUCGGACCUUCGAGCGACUUUGACAGUUAGUGGUUCAGUCUUGCUUUGAAUUUCGACAAGUACAUAUCGCAGUUACCGCAGUACGCGUUCUCCGCAAGUAAUAAUGAAGAGUUAAUAAUGAAAUGGUGUAGUGGGGAUACUCUCCCAUCCCUGUGGAUAACAAAAUCGGACCUUCGAGCGACUUUGACAGUUAGUGGUUCAGUCUUGCUUUGAAUUUCGACAAGUACAUAUCGCAGUUACCGCAGUACGCGUUCUCCGCAAGUAAUAAUGAAGAGUUAAUAAUGAAAUGGUGUAGUGGGGAUACUCUCCCAUCCCUGUGGAUAACAAAAUCGGACCUUCGAGCGACUUUGACAGUUAGUGGUUCAGGCUUGCUUUGAAUUUC